UAUUGACAUCUCACAUCUGUGAUUGUCUGUGAUAUUUAUUUACAUAAUUUUUUUGUUUUGUAUUUUGUUUUUUAACUACCUUUAAAUGAAGUAGAAAAUAUAAUGAAAUACAAGAAUGUACAAACGUACAUGUCACAGUUCGUUUGCCGGUCCAAUUGAGGAGAUACCAGGAGUUUAUGUUGAUAAUUUUGAAAAUGCCGGCAAAAAAAUGGCUCGAGCUUACUUUUUGAGCCACUACCAUCAAGACCAUGUUCAGGGAUUGCAAGACAUAUCUCUAUUGGAAACAUUGGAGAAGACCAAAGCUUGCAUAUACACAAGUGAACUGACCUCUGUCAUUAUUAAUUAUGAAAAAAAACAUCCAAACCUGAUGAAAUAUGUAAGAGCUUUGAAAACAGAUGCAAAAAAGAAGAAAAGUGAACAUCGUUUUAAUCGUACUAGACCUGGAGAGAUGAAGGAUAGGAUAAAGAAAGAGAAACGCCAUGAAGAGAAGAAACAUGGUGAGAUAUGGAAGCCGAUAAUGAGCGAAGCGUGGGUGAACAAGCACCGCACGCCGCACCACCCCGCGUGGAUGGACUACUGCGAGCCGUACCACUGCAACGACUACCACCGCCCCGCCUGCGGACUCAACAACAACACCAUGAGGUUCAGAUGGUUCCAAAGUAGUUGUCAUGUUAUAUUGAACAACUUGUGUUCAACCUACCUAGGAACUUUGAAAUAUGACGUAGUAAACCCAAGAUACUGCGAAAAAUAUAUAAUGUUUUUGCGUGUUGGGUGUCCGUUGGUCUGUCCGGACAAGUUGGACCCGACUUGCGGCGUCAGCUCUUUGGACAAUCAAGUUGUGAUGUUUAUAAAUAAAUGUGCCAUGGAGAGAGCGAAUUGUGAAAGGGAGAAUUAUGAAGUUGUUCAAUGUCUAUUCGAAUCGAGUUUUAAAAGGACCUUGGCCUCGAAUCAAAAAGAAAGAAUACAAGUAUUGAGACAGAAAUUGCAAGAAAAGAUCCAUUCGAAAAGAAUCUCUGACUCAAUUCAUCCGUUUGAUAAACACGAUUCUUCAUACGAAUGGGAUUAUAAUACAAAUGAUUUACCAAUAACACCUAUAGAUAAAUAUAUCGGAAAAAAUACUAAAAACUACAAAAGAGUGCUAACUACAAAGUUUGCUAGCAAAAAAGGCGGAAACUUCAAAAGUGCACUCCCUACAAUCAAGAUUCCAAGCAAAGAUGGUUAUGCCAUAGACAAUUUCCAAGAUGGCGGAUUAAAAAAAAACCUGUCACACAGUCGUUUGCGUUCAAAAAUAAGAAUAAAGGGGAUUAUUAAGAAACCUUUGGAAAUAUUUUAUAGACGAGCGUUUAAUUAUGAUAUUGUUGAUUCCGAAUGGGUGCACUGUCAAGAUAUUAUUACGCCAUUUUUAACUGGAGCCAAACUUAAUAUAAGCAGUCCUAAAGUAAUGAAUCAAAAGGAUCCAACAGUUUUGAGAGAAAAGACAUACUUUUGGCAGUCUGAAGAAAGGUCUUCGCCAAAUGUUCCACAAAUGGCACCUGGACUUCAGCAAUAGUACUGCUCUGUUGCGUCAAUCGAGGAUUUUCCGACCGCCCUGCGUGAAUAGUGCCACUUUUGACGGCUCCACGAAAUCACCAAGAAUAACGAUAUAUCCAAAGAGAACAGAAGCAACCACUCCUUGCGAGGACUACGAUGAAGACUGCAGAA
rnacentral:misc_RNA from 1 species